CCCAGAAGCACGUAGCUCGCAGGAUGUCAUCCACAGAUACAUUUUAUUUGACAAUCAGAGUUUUUAAUAUGAUAAAUUGCUUUCCAAUAUCAGCCCUCCUAUUUUCUGGCCACAUCCCAUCCUCCAGGUGACACUUUCACUGUAGUCACUAACAUGCUGGGAUCUCCAUUCACUUUACCAGCUACUUUCGCCUAUUGCUCUCCUGCUCUUCACCUCCAUACUUCCCCACUCAGAGUACAUCAUGUAUUGUUGCAGUGAUGUCCUUGUCAAAACCCUAAGCUCUUUUUUUCUUUUUUCACUCCUCUCUGGCAAAAAUGCAGUCCUGAUGAACGCAGUAUCUGCCCCAGGCAGUGGGCAAGUGCUGUAAGGAACCAUCACCAACAAGGCUACAGGGAAGCCCAGGGCUUGGGGAAAAUCUAGUUUCAGCUGUUAAGAGUUGGUAAAGAAAUGUUCUUUGAAGAGGCAAAGAAUAAUAUGGAUUAAUUUGGGAAUAAUGGAAUGCAGGAUUUUGUGAACCAUGGUAUAGAGUUUGAAGGAGGAAGCAAUGGGGAUAUAAACCAGUAAAUAGGUACCACAGAACAUUAUGGAAAUCAGAGACGGGGAAAAGAGAAUUGACUCAGAGAGGGUCUAACAUAUGCUGGGCUGUGUAUUAGUCUGUUCUCAUGCUGCUAUGAAGAAAUACCCGAGACUGAUAAUUUAUAAAGGAAAGAGGUUUAAUUGACUCCCAGUUCCACAUGGCUGGGGAGGCCUCAGGAAACUUACAAUCAUGGCAGAAGGGGAAGCAAACCUGUCCUUCUUCGUAUGGCGGCAGGAAGGAGAAGUGCAGAGCAAAGGGGAAAAAGCCCCUUGUAAAACCAUCAGAUCUCGUGGAAACUCACUAUCACAAGAACAGUAUGGGGGUAACCACCCCAUGAUUCAGUGACCUCCCACCGGGUCACUCCCAGGACAAGAUGAGAUUUGGGUGGGGACACAGCCAAACCAUAUCAGGCAGUGACUGAAGCAGGCACUGGAUGGAUUUUGUAGAUUUACCUGGCCACAGUGUUAACCAGGGUAAUAAAUCCCCAUUUAUCUCUGGAAGAUGGUAGAAACUCAAGCCACUCCAUGUUUACCUGCUGCCUGGAAGGGGGAGAAUGGCCAGGAGUAGGAGUUUGAACUAGCGCUUUCUUUCACCUUGAAGUCAUUAGAAGGCAGAGGAAAGUCAAGAGCUCCACGUGAAAGCCAGAGACAGAAGAUAACCUGUUGGACAAUGCCUGGGCUAGUGGGAGGGAUGUGAUCAACGGGCCUCAGGUAGAAGGGAGAACAACCCUUUCAUCAAAACACAAGGAAUGGAAGAAAUAAUGAAUAUCUGUAUCAGUCAUCUUAGUCUAAGUUGUUAUUGUAACAAACAAUCCCCAAAUCUCAGUGGCUUAAAACAACUAAGGUUUUUCCUUGUUUGUGGUAUAUACUCAUCAUAGAUUGGUAGGGAACUGUGGUCAUUAAGCUCAGCCACCAUCUGGAAUGUUGCUGGUUCCUGUGCCAGAGGGAAGAGACAGCUCUGCAGGGUGUUGCUUUGGAGGUUCUGGGUUGGAUGCAACAGAUGUAAGUUUCCUUUGUAGCUCAUCGGCCAGAAUUAAUCACGUGGGCCCACCCAACCCCAAGGGGGCCAGAAAGUGCCAUCUUACUCUGUGCCUAGAAGGCAGAGAAUUGGAAUUUAUUUGGUGAACAGCACUAAUGACUUCUACAUUUUAACCCAGAAAAGCUUCAUUGCUCUCUGAGGUUAUUUCCAGCUCUGCCAUCCUGUAAUACCAGGACUUUGGGAGGCCAAGGCAGGUGGAUCACUUGAGGCCAGGAAUUCAAGACCAGCCUGGCCAACAUAGUGAAACCCUGUCUCUACUAAAAAUGCCAAAAUUAGCAGGGCAUGGUGGCACCCACAUGUAACCCCAGCUACGCGGGAGGCUGAGGCAGGAGAAUUGCUUGAGCCCUGGGAGGCAGAAGUUGCAGUGAGCCAAGAUCAUGCCACUACACUCCAGCCUGGGCAACAGAGUUAGACCCUGUCUCAAUAAAUAAAUAAACAAAUAAAUAAAUAUGGCAACUCCAGCCAGAAAAUUUAAUGACUGUACAGCCACGUAAGACUGUCUCUCAGAAUGCUUCUUACCACAUUCUUUGCUUAGAAAAUGCAAGAUUGGAUUGCUCCUCCAAUUGCUAGCAAGCCAGGAGUAUGAAAUUCAGGAGCUGGGGCAAUUGGGAAUUAGUGGCUGCAUUGCAGUUGUGACCAGAAUCAUAAAAAAGAGGAACUAAGGAGUUACUGGAAAGAUUUUAGGACAAUAGUUUUCAAACUCUGGCAUAAGAAUGAACACUAUGCAGCCUUAAAAAAAAAAAGAAUGCAGAUUUAGAUGUUAGAUAGGAAAAGACUUCCAAGUAAACAAAUGAAGGACACGAACAGAUUAUACAGUGUGCUACCAUUAAUGUAAAAAACAAAACAAAACAAACAGGUGGCCUGGGCGCAGUGGCUCAUGCCUGUAUUGCUAGCACUUUGGGAGGCCAAGGUGGGUGGAUGGCUUGAGCUCAGGAAUUUGAGACCAAAAUGGCCAAGAUGGCAAACAACUGUCUACAAAAAAUACAAAAAUUAACCGCGGUGGUGUUCCAGUUACUCAGGAGGCUAAGGUGAUCACUUGAGCCCAAGAGUUCAAGACCAGCCUGGACAAAUAGCGAAACCCCACCUCCACAAAAAAAAAAAAAAAAAAAUACAAAAAUUAGCCAGAAAUGGUGGUGUAUGCCUGGUCCCAGCUACCAGGGAGGCUGAGGUGGGAGGAUCACCUGACACCAGGAAGUCAAGGCUGCAGUGAGUGGUCACAACACUGCAUUCCAGCCUGUGAGACACAGAGACCCUGUCUCACCAAAAACAAAAAAAAGUGGAAGCCGUUCAAACACAUUAGUAUUUGUAAGGAUGUAUAAGAAACUUCUAGUUUCCUGAGAGGGGAACUGGGAAGCUGGGGAGAGAUGAAGGAUCACUUUCGUGUCAUUUAUAAAUCUUACUCAUUGAAAACAAUCGACUUCCCGAUGCAAUGUAGUAUCCCAGAACAGAAAAAGGGCCUUAGUGGGGAAACUGGUGAAAGCAGAGAAAAGUCUAGUUGGUAGUGUUGUACCAAUGUUACAUUUCUUGUUUUGGCAAAUGUACGAAAUGUAGUUUUCGUGGUUGUUUCCCAGUUCAUAAUUCUGUCCUAUACAUUUCUUCUCCCUCCUCUGUGUGGAACUCACACAGAAAACCUUGAACAUCUUCCAUUGUUUCCUGUGCCUAGCAUGCCUCUCCUGCUCUUCCUGACCUCGGAAGCUGUGCUCCUCUUUCAAGGCCAAGCUCUGAAAGAGUUACUUGCUCUGGAAAGCUUUCCUAGACCUCCCCCUCAAGUGUUCUCCUGGGACAUUCUAUCUUUAUUAGUGCUAGGGACACAUGGCUUUGUUUGAUUUCUACCAACUAGGUUGCCCAGAAAGUGGACUCCAAGAUGAAAACUAGAUGCACGUUUUUUAGGGAUUAACACUUGUGGAAGAGGAGGAAUGCAAGGCUGGGACGGGGGAGGAGGUGGGCUGCGUGAUGUAAUCCUAACAAAAGCCUCAGCAGACCCCACAAGCUCAGAAGCCACCAUGUCCCUCAAAGUUGUCCCAAAUUGGGGUAAGAGAAAUAGCGACCUGAGAUUUCCAGCCCAUUACUCACUAGAUGUAGGCUACCCAGGGAAAAGGGCAUGACUUUGGCUAACGCAGCUCUCCUCUGAAAAGGCACUGCCCAGAGGGCUAACCAGCUGAAGGGUGUUUGUCAGCAACACUUCUAGCAGCUGAGGCAGAAAGGCUUCAAUCUGGAAGGAGGGUGGGGUAUCACAUCUCCUCUAUGUCAUCCCUCACCCUGCAACUGUAAUCGCUAUAUUCCCAGUGCAAGGCCUAGAAAACAAUGUUCCAAUUGGAAAGACUGAAGGUGCUUUGGCUCUCUGAAGGCAGAGGCCUGGACCACAGGAUUACAUGUGGUUUCUUCCCACACUAAGAACCAAGUGUGUUUCUUCCUCACCCGGUUCCCAACAGCAGAGAGAGAAAGCUUCCCUUUGAUUAGAGACUAAGAGCCUCAGAAACCGUUAAGAUGUUCACCCUCCAUUUGACAGUGAGAACCAUCUGGGAGACAGCAGAUUUCAUUCUUAAAGGACUAACAUUUCUCAAUAACCUUUUAGGUCUUUCGUCUUUUCAAGCAAAUGAAUACUUUUAUUAACAUGAAAUUAAAGUCUCCAAAUACAGACAAUACUAUCCAUUCUCCAGCUCUUCUCCAGAUUCACGAGUCCCAGCCAGGUCGGCCCAUCC
rnacentral:lncRNA from 10 species